rnacentral:rRNA from 1 species
AGCUCCAAUAGCGUAUAUUAAAGUUGUUGCAGUUAAAAAGCUCGUAGUUGGAUUUCUGGUCGGACCGAUCGGUCCUGCACUUGAUGUAGGAACUUGAUCGCGUCUGAUCAUCCUUGGGGAGAGCCUGUGUGGCAUUAAGUUGUCGUGCUGGGGAUCCCCAUCGUUUACUGUGAAUAAAUUAGAGUGUUUCAAGCAGGCUUACGCCGUUGAAUACAUUAGCAUGGAAUAAUAAGAUAGGACCUUGGUACUAUUUUGUUGGUUUGCGCACCAAGGUAAUGAUUAAUAGGGACAGUUGGGGGUAUUCGUAUUCAAUUGUCAGAGGUGAAAUUCUUGGAUUUCUGGAAGACGAACUACUGCGAAAGCAUUUACCAAGGAUGUUUUCAUUA